CCUCGGGAGGCUGCAGUGGGGAAUUUUGGACAAUGGGGGCAACCCUGAUCCAGCCAUGCCGCGUGCGGGAAGAAGGCCUUCGGGUUGUAAACCGCUUUUGUCAGGAGAGAAAUCUCUUGGGCUAAUACCCUGAGAGGAUGACGGUACCUGAAGAAUAAGCACCGGCUAACUACGUGCCAGCAGCCGCGGUAAUACGUAGGGUGCAAGCGUUAAUCGGAAUUACUGGGCGUAAAUCGUGCACACACGUGUGAAAUCCCCGGGCUUAACCUGGGAACUGCACUUGUGACUGCACGGCUAGAGUACGGCAGAGGGGGAUGGAAUUCCGCGUGUAGCAGUGAAAUGCGUAGAUAUGCGGAGGAACACCGAUGGCGAAGGCAGUCCCCUGGGCCUGUACUGACGCUCAUGCACGAAAGCGUGGGGAGCAAACAGGAUUAGAUACCCUUGUAGUC
rnacentral:rRNA from 1 species